rnacentral:rRNA from 1 species
AGAAUCAACGCUGGCGGCGUGCCUAACACAUGCAAGUCGCACGAGAAAGGGGCUUCGGCUCUGAGUAAAGUGGCGCACGGGUGAGUAACACGUGACUAAUCUACCCUCGAGUGGGGAAUAACCUAGAGAAAUCUGGGCUAAUACCGCAUAACACUUACGAGUCAAAGCAGCAAUGCGCUUGGGGAGGAGGUCGCGGCCGAUUAGCUAGUUGGCGGGGUAAUGGCCCACCAAGGCGAUGAUCGGUAUCCGGCCUGAGAGGGGCGCGACGGACGACGACUGGAACUGAAACACGGUCCAGACUCCUACGGGAGGCAGCAGUGGGGAAUUUUGCGCAAUGGGGGAAACCCUGACGCAGCAACGCCGCGUGGAGGAUGAAAUAUCUUGGUAUGUAAACUCCUUUCGAUGGGGAAGAUUAUGACGGUACCCAUAGAAGAAGCCCCGGCUAACUUCGUGCCAGCAGCCGC